rnacentral:rRNA from 1 species
GCUCCAGGGGGUAGAGCACUGUUUUGGCUAGGGGGACAUGGAGUCUUACCAAACCAAGGCAAACUCCGAAUACCUGGAAGCGUAAGCACGGGAGACAGAGCACCGGGUGCUAACGUCCGGACUCAAGAGGGAAACAACCCAGACCGCCGUUUAAGGUCCCUAAUAUUGGCUAAGUGGAAAACGAAGUGUGAAGGCUAAGACAGUCAGGAAGUUGGCUUAGAAGCAGCCAUCCUUCAAAGAAAGCGUAAUAGCUCACUGAUCGAGUCCUCAUGCGCGGAAGAUGUAACGGGGCUAAGUCAAUAACCGAAAGCGCGGAUUUGCAGCAAUGCAAGUGGUAGGGGAGCGUUCCGUAAGUUGAAGAAGGUGGCUUGUAAAGGCUGCUGGAGAUAUCGGAAGUGCGAAUGCUGACAUGAGUAACGUUAAAGCAGGUGAAAAGCCUGCUCGCCGUAAGCCCAAGGAUUCCUGCUCUACGUUCAUCGGAGCAGGGUGAGUCGGCUCCUAAGGUCAGGCCGAAAGGCGUAGCCGAUGGGAAUCAGGUUAAUAUUCCUGAACCUGCGUCAGAUGCGAUGGGGGGACGGAGCAUGGAAGAUCAUCCGGGUGUUGGAAGUCCCGGUUGUUUAGCGUAGGAGGUCUGCAGGCAAAUCCGCAGACGCAUCUCCAAGGCAAAGACACGUGCCGCCACGGCGGCGAAGUGAUCGGAAGUGCUUCCAAGAAAAGCCUCUAAGCACCAGUCUGAUGCGGACCGUACCGCAAACCGACACUGGUGGGCGAGCUGAAUAUGCUCAGGCGCUUGAGAGAACUCGGGAGAAGGAACUCGGCAAAUUGACACCGUAACUUCGGAAGAAGGUGUGCCGUAGUACCGUGAGAGGAGAGACACCUUGAGCGGGAAACGGUCUCAGAGAAUAGGUGGCUGCGACUGUUUAUUAAAAACACAGCACUCUGCAAAGUCGAAAGACGACGUAUAGGGUGUGAUGCCUGCCCGGUGCUGGAAGAUUAAGUGAUGGGGUGCAAGCUCCUGAUCGAAGUCCCAGUAAACGGCGGCCGUAACUAUAACGGUCCUAAGGUAGCGAAAUUCCUUGUCGGGUAAGUUCCGACCUGCACGAAUGGCAUAACGAUGGCCACACUGUCUCCUCCCGAGACUCAGUGAAGUUGAAAUGUUUGUGAUGAUGCAAUCUACCCGCGGCUAGACGGAAAGACCCCAUGAACCUUUACUGCAGCUUUGCAUUGAACUGUGAACCGAUUUGUGUAGGAUAGGUGGGAGGCAGAGAAGAGGCCACGCCAGUGGUCUUGGAGCCGACCUUGAAAUACCACCCUGAUUUGUUUGCGGUUCUAACCACGGACAGUGAUCCUGUCUUGGGACCGUGCAUGGUAGGCAGUUUGACUGGGGCGGUCUCCUCCUAAAGGGUAACGGAGGAGUACGAAGGUACGCUAGGUACGGUCGGAAAUCGUGCUGAUAGUGCAAUGGCAAAAGCGUGCUUGACUGCGAGAGCAACAACUCGAGCAGAUGCGAAAGCAGGUCAUAGUGAUCCGGUGGCUCUGAAUGGAAGGGCCAUCGCUCAACGGAUAAAAGGUACUCCGGGGAUAACAGGCUGAUACCGCCCAAGAGUUCAUAUCGACGGCGGUGUUUGGCACCUCGAUGUCGGCUCAUCUCAUCCUGGGGCUGUAGUCGGUCCCAAGGGUAUGGCUGUUCGCCAUUUAAAGAGGUACGUGAGCUGGGUUUAAAACGUCGUGAGACAGUUUGGUCCCUAUCUGCCGUGGGCGUUGGAAGAUUGACGGGGGCUGCUCCUAGUACGAGAGGACCGGAGUGGACGCACCUCUGGUGUACCGGUUGUCACGCCAGUGGCAUCGCCGGGUAGCUAUGUGCGGAAGAGAUAACCGCUGAAAGCAUCUAAGCGGGAAACUUGCCUGAAGAUAAGUCUUCCCGGAGGCUAGACCUCCCUGAAGAGUCGUUCGAGACCAGGACGUUGAUAGGUCGGGUGUGCAAGCGCUGUGAGGCGUUGAGCUAACCGAUACUAAUUGCUCGUGAGGCUUGAUC